rnacentral:lncRNA from 7 species
AAACAACCAUGCUCACUUUAUUGCCUUUCAUAAUAGUGAUUAUCCAAUGUGUACCUUUCAUUUUCUUUGUGAAACAUGAUUGUUUUGGAUUAUAACUUUAUAAAGGCAUUUCCUAGUUCCAAAAACUAAUGAAAAUUAAAUGGCACAUAGUAAACGAGAUAAUUAUUUGACACAAAUGAGUUUGAGUGAACUCAACAGAAAAUGUAGAAUAUGUGUUUGCCUGGGGUUAUUGAACAAAAUAGGAUGCUGCUCCAUUAGAAAGAGUAGCACACAGAUUACCAAGUGCAACAAAAUUAAGAAAAUUACGCUAUUAUCUCUCAGUACAUAC